AAAGAAAUAUAUUAUAAAAAAGCUUCUAACUUUUUAAAAGCAUUAAAUUGUUAAU
rnacentral:tRNA from 1 species